GACGAACGCUGGCGGCGUGCCUAACACAUGCAAGUCUAACGAGAAAGGGGUAGCAAUAUCCUGAGUACAGUGGCGCACGGGUGAGUAACACGUAGGCAAUUUGCCUUCAGGACGGGGACAACCUCGAGAAAUCGGGGCUAAUACCCGAUAAUGCAGCGGCACCGCAUGGUGACAGUUGUUAAAGGCCCGCAAGGGCGCCCGGAGAUGAGCUGCGUCCCAUUAGGUAGUUGGUGAGGUAACGGCCCACCAAGCCUACGAUGGGUAGCUGGUCUGAGAGGAUGAUCAGCCACACUGGAACUGAGACACGGUCCAGACUCCUACGGGAGGCAGCAGUGAGGAAUAUUGCGCAAUGGCCGAAAGGCUGACGCAGCGACGCCGCGUGAAGGAUGAAGUCCGUUAGGAUGUAAACUUCUUUUGCAGGGGAAGAAUGUGGCGCCUUGGGCGCCAUUGACGGUACCCUGCGAAUAAGGGUCGGCUAACUACGUGCC
rnacentral:rRNA from 1 species